GAUGAAGAACGCAGCGAAAUGCGAUAAGUAGUGUGAAUUGCAGAAUUCAGUGAAUCAUCGAAUCUUUGAACGCACAUUGCGCCCUUUGGUAUUCCUUAGGGCAUGCCUGUUCGAGCGUCAUUUAAACCUUCAAGCUAAGCUUGGUGUUGGGUGACUGCCCGCCUCACGGCGGACUCGCCUCAAAAUUAUUGGCGGCCGGUACAUUGGCUUCGAGCGCAGCAGAAACGCGAACUCGGGCCCGUCGUAUUGGCUCCCAGAAGCUAUCUUCACAAUUUUGACCUCGGAUCAGGUAGGGAUACCCGCUGAACUUAAGCAUAUCAAUAAGCGGAGGA
rnacentral:misc_RNA from 1 species